GUAGGUGAACCUGCGGAAGGAUCAUUAACACGUAUCCAAACGUUUUGAAAAAAAAAAAAGAAAAAAAAAAGAAAAAACCCCCCCUGUGAACAUUUGCUUGCUCUUGCAGCCCGCCUGGAUAGCAAUCCCUGGUAAAUCAUCGCUGAACUGGAGUUGAUUCAGGGACCUUUGUUUGGGUGAGAAGUUACAGCUGCAAUCGAGAGAUCGUCGUUUGGUUGAGCCUGCUCCGUAAAGUCCCCCGCGUGCAUUGGAAAGUGGCAUUGGGGUGUAUGUACUGGAGAAACCCCUCUGGAUGAUAGAAGGCCAUCACGGCCUGUCACCGCUGCCUUCCGGGUGAACGUGCCCCCCAGGAUGUCCCCGCUACCAGUCGAAACGACCAACCUGUGCAACCAUUGCGUGUUGAGCCCAUGGGCGUCGUAAACCGAAAUACUUUGAACAACUGUUAACAAUGGAUAUCUUGGUUCUC
rnacentral:misc_RNA from 1 species